rnacentral:sRNA from 1 species
GAGAUUGAACCUGGGACCGACCGUAAUC